GAGGCCCAGGAAAUACGUGUGCAUCCGAAGCAAGCAAUAGUGCACCGCUCCUUGAGGAAAGGACGUCUGCAGCCCUCUCUGAACAGCCCUGUGUUGGAAAGAAAGCUGGAAAGCAUCUGGCAUUUGCACCUGAGGAGUCUCAAAGGGGGAUAUGGUCAAUAAAAGACAAAAGGUUCCCUUUAGCUAAUUUCAUCUUGUUUUGCUCCCUGACCUAUGAAACGGAGCAUUCAUCCAAUGACAGUCUGCUUCAGGCAUAUCUCUCUUCAAACCUGAACUUCUUCCACUAACGAACUCUCUAAGGUCACAUGAAGUAAAACAAAAGUCUUCAAAUCUACAAGAAGUUCUCCAUUAGCUGUGUGUUUUUCUCUAAGGAAAUUAUUGCUUUUUAAUCUGCCAUUCAUCUCAUCCACAGAGGAACAAAGUGGAUUUUCAGGUCAGAUACUGCUCUUACAAAUCAAUAAGACGUUGUUGAAAAGUUGGAAUUUGAAAGGUAUGGUAGAAAUUAUAUGUAUGUGACUUCUGUGUAAAUGAUGUACUUAAAUCUGUGCAAUAUUGAGAGAUGUUUGAAUCUGAGUGCGUUCUUGGCUGGACCCUACAAGUGAAAGAAAUGAAGUCACAGAGACUGCUUGUUUUUGUCAAGGAGGUGUGUAAGAUGUUUUUGUUUCAGGCAACUUAUUCCUUGAGGUAAUGAAUAUCAGUGUACAUGAAGAAACUGGGUCAUACUCUAUUAGGUUUUGCAGAAAUAUAAUAAGCAAAAAGUGGAUGUUCUAACAGCCUGUAGAAAUUGAACUGUAAGGCUGGGAGUACUUGGGAUGCAUGAACAAGACUCGGCUGUAUUGUGGGAAUUAACUUUGUAUCCUGAUAAUGCAGAUGCUUUUUUGGAAUUGAUCUGAAAUAUAAAUAAUUGAUUUUUCAAAAGUAAAUCUUCUAAAAAUGAAAGGAAGAAGUCUCCUGUUAAAACUCGACAAGGAAUACAUUAUUUUAAUUGAGCUCCUAAACUGGUAUUUGAGUAACGGUAGUUAUCACACAUACUCCAAAGACGCUCCAAAGAUGAACUCUAGGCUGGCCAAGAAGGCAUUGGGCCACUUUGUGGCUUUUUUUUCCCCACGCAGUGUAAGCUUCAAAAACUGUCUAUUGCCCCGUUUGACUUUUAUGUGGACUGAGAUGAUGGGAGCUGGCUACUACUAGUCAAGCAUUAAAUGUCCUUCAUUUCUCCUGAUCAUUUGUACUUGCUAGGCCGUAGCCAGCUUGUGAGGUGUUCUGGCUGUGGGGAUAUUUCUAUGCUGUGAUGUUUGUUUCUGUCCUGAUUGAAAAUUACUUUAAUUAAAGCUUGUUCCCUGGUUUUCUGCUCCU
rnacentral:lncRNA from 7 species